GACGAACGUUGGCGGCGUGCUUAAUACAUGCAAGUCAACUGAAGCAGUGGUAGCAAUAUCGCUGUGGAGGUGGCGCACGGGGGAGGAACACGUAGGUAAUCUGCCUUCAGGUCUGGCAUAACUCCGGGAAACCGGGGCUAAUAGCAGAUGAUGCAGCGGCUCGACAUCGAGACAGUUGUUAAAGCUAUGGCGCCUGAAGAUGAGCCUGCGUCUGAUUAGCUAGUUGGCGGGGUAACGGCCCACCAAGGCAACGAUCAGUAGCUGGUCUGAGAGGAUGAUCAGCCACACUGGAACUGAGCCACGGUCCAGACUCCUACGGGGGGCAGCAGUAAGGAAUAUUGCUCAAUGGGUGACAUCCUGAAGCCGCAACGGCGCGUGAGGGACGAAGGGCUUUUGCUUGUAAACCUCUGUAGUGAGAGAAAAAAAUCCCACUCUUUGGGACAUGAUGGUAUCUAAAAAGUAAGCCCCGGCUAACUACGUG
rnacentral:rRNA from 1 species